rnacentral:rRNA from 1 species
CUACCAGACUCCUACGGGAGGCAGCAGUGGGGAAUAUUGCACAAUGGGGGGAACCCUGAUGCAGCGACGCCGCGUGGGUGAAGGAGCACCUCGGUGCGUAAAGCCCUAUCGGCAGGGAAGAAACAGACGGUACCUGACUAAGAAGCCCCGGCUAACUACGUGCCAGCAGCCGCGGUAAUACGUAGGGGGCAAGCGUUAUCCGGAUUCACUGGGUGUAAAGGGAGCGUAGACGGCAGUGCAAGUCCGGAGUGAAAGCCCGGGGCUCAACCCUGGGACUGCUCUGGAAACUGUAAAGCUGGAGUGCGGGAGGGGCAGGCGGAAUUCCUGGUGUAGCGGUGAAAUGCGUAGAUAUUAGGAGGAACACCAGUGGCGAAGGCGUCUUACUGGACCGAAACUGACGUUGAGGCUCGAAAGCGUGGGGAGCAAACAGGAUUAGAUACCCCUGUA